rnacentral:rRNA from 1 species
GCAUCUGUGGAGCCGGUUACCCGACCUUUUGUGUGAUUUGAGGGUCCGUUUCGGCGCUGGGCGCGGACGGGCGUCGGUAUUUCGGCGGAAGCGGUAGGCGUUUUCGAAUCUCUCCCCUCUACGUUCUUCUUCUUCUCGAGAGAGUCAGAAGGGGAAGGGGAAGAGGGCAGGAGACGACCUGCCCGCCGCCGGCGGUAUUGAACCCAACUCUAUGCGAGAAAAUGAAGUCUGAAGGCGCGGACCGUGGUGCGCGAGCGCACGGGAAACGCGAGAGAAGCAAAAGGAAAAAGAAGCAAAACUUUCAACAACGGAUCUCUUGGCUCUGGCAACGAUGAAGAACGCAGCGAAACGCGAAAGGUAAUGCGAAUUGCAGAAUCAGUGAGUCAUCGAAUUUUUGAACGCACAUUGCGCCUCUCGGUAUUCCGGGAGGCACGCCUGUUCGAGCGCCAUUACACCCUCCAASCUGCGGCUUGAUGUUGGGCGAGGGUCUUCCCGUUCCCGUGGGGAGGGGAGGACGCGCCUGGAACGCGUGGGCGGCGGAAGCCAGACCGCGAGCGUAGCGAGACACGAAAGAGUCAAGUCGCUCGGGACGGACCUGGGAGACGUGUGGCCGGAAAGCAAAGUCACCUUUUCGAGGAACGGCGACGGAAGAGAAAUCGAUC